ACGCUGCAGCGAAGGACCGCCAGCACAGUUACACGCAUGGGAAUAGGUGGUUUAUGCCAACCUCCUUCCUCAGUCUACUGUGGGGAAAGUCCCCGGAGAUCCUCGCAGGGUGGUUGGCUCCCCUCACCGAGUCCGUCCGUGCCGUCCGGCAGUCCCGCUACUGGACAACUCCCAGCCGUCGCCUUUCGCUCAAUGCAGCAGCUGAUGACCCCUAUAUCUGGCUACGCGGCGCAUGCGUGGAAAGCGGCUGCCUUUAAGCACGGCAGGGAUGCGUGUGCUGGCGAGCUGGGGUUAGGGUAGGCUGUUGUACUCGGGUGAUGGGUUGACGACCGGGGGCGCGCGAACGGGCAAGGAAAGGGAGACAGUGGGGAAUGAUUGGCUGCUAGACCUCCUGUGCUUGCCCUUGCGUGGAUAAGCACGGGAGGUGCACCAUUAUCCCCUCCUCUGCGGCGGCAGUCGACCUCCUUUUUGGUUCUGGCUUGGUACUCGUCUCCUCGACUCCGGUGCUUCGUGUUCGAGUAGGCAGGAAUCAGCAUAGGCGAAGAUACGAGCCGUGCUGGGGAAUGUCUGCUUGCGCAAUGGGCGGGACGGGCACGUUGCUAGGCAAAGAGGAUCAAGGUCCGGUCGCAACAAUGUUCCUCAUUGUUGAUAGUUAUGCGGUCCUGUGCUGAGAUGUCUCCUCAUUGGAGACGGAGCCUAGAACACAACGGGGCUUACUCUCGCGCAGCG
rnacentral:RNase_MRP_RNA from 2 species